AUUAAAUUGUUGUGGCAAUAUAGCAACAUUUCUUUGCGUUUGAGAUGUUACAAUUUUUGCCAUUACCUUUCUUUUAGGUAGCAUAAAAAGCUGCAGCUCCAUUUGAACAUCAAGCAAUCUGGGCUUGACUUGAGCAGCUUUGCUUCAGUGCUUUCAGUAAAAUGAGAAAUACAUAAUUGGAGAGAAGGCAACCAGUUGCUAAACUUAAAGCAUGUAGUUGAAUUCAGAGCCGAUAUUUCUUCAAAUUGGGCAAUUUCUGGAAGUCUUGGCAGCUGACAGGGAAGAGAGAAGUGACAGGAGGGCUGGACAAUGAAAGUCCUCGUUCAGAGCUACAAGGACUGCCACAGAAUGGAGGGUCUGAAGGUCAGAAUCACUGUCAACUCCCCAGAGAUGUGAAAAGCACAACCGUAUUUCACCUCCUUCACAAGGAACAGCCCUGGAGAUGUGAAAUCUUAGUAGGUGGUAUCUCUUCUGCUCCAUGACAAUGUAAGUGAUAACAGGCAGAUUACUUCAGUGUGUGUGUGUUGGUGCUUGCAAGAGUGUGGGUAUGAGAAAAUGCAUGAUCAUUAUUAUUAUUAAAUAUGAUCGUCUUCCUCUCUUAUAUGGCCUCAUAUUAAACUUUUCUACAUUAUUUUAGCUUUGUUGCUACAAUGUUGCUGGGAUAUACUAAGUAAAUAUUGCUGUAGCCUCAAAAGUUACACUGGUUCUCUCAACUCAGAUCUCAGUGUUUGUGUUGGUAUGUGAAACAUCAGAAUGGAUUUACAAGGUAUGGCAAAAGAAAAAUUUUCAGCUGCUUGUAUAAGAUAAGUGGAAAUCUUGUGGAUGCAAGUCUGUAAAAAUUUUCAUCUAAUCAAGUCUUUUCUGACAGCAUUUGGGCCAGGGGAGGGAGAUCACUGUUGCAAGCAGGCUACAAGACUUGUGCAAUAGUUAGGUUCUAGCAGUUAAAAAAAAAAAGUUCAUAUAACAAAUAGAAUCCUUUUUUAGCCUCAUUCUAUAUGUAUUA
rnacentral:lncRNA from 1 species